rnacentral:rRNA from 1 species
GAUGAACGCUGGCGGCGUGCCUAAUACAUGCAAGUCGAGCGAACAGACGAGGAGCUUGCUCCUCUGACGUUAGCGGCGGACGGGUGAGUAACACGUGUAUAACCUACCUAUAAGACUGGGAUAACUUCGGGAAACCGGAUCUAAUACCGGAGAAUAUAUUGAACCGCAGGGUUCAAUAGUGAAAGACGGUUUUGCGGUCACUUAUAGAUGGAUCCGCGCCGCAUUAGCUAGUUGGUAAGGUAACGGCUUACCAAGGCAACGAUGCGUAGCCGAACUGAGAGGGUGAUCGGCCACACUGGAACUGAGACACGGUCCAGACUCCUACGGGAGGCAGCAGUAGGGAAUGUUCCGCAAUGGGCGAAAGCCUGACGGAGCAACGCCGCGUGAGUGAUGAAGGUCUUCGGAUCGUAAAACUCUGUUAUUAGGGAAGAACAACUGUGUAAGUAACUAUGCACGUCUUGACGGUACCUAAUCAGAAAGCCACGGCUAACUACGUG